UGGACCUGCCCCACUACCGGGGGAGUAACAGCUGGAAACGGCUGCUAACACCGCAUAAGCGCACAGAGCUGCAUGGCUCGGUGUGAAAAACUACCGGUGGUAUGGGAUGGGCCCGCGUCUGAUUAGGCAGUUGGCGGGGUAACGGGCCCACCAAGCCUUCGAUGGAUAGGGGUUCUGAGAGGAAGGUCCCCCACAUUGGAACUGAGACACGGUCCAAACUCCUACGGGAGGCAGCAUG
rnacentral:rRNA from 1 species